rnacentral:lncRNA from 1 species
CAAGGGUAUUCUAUAAUCUUCAUGACUCCUAUUCUCAGGAUGUCUUGAUGGAUUUCUAGGGUCAUUAUGAAGUUUAGUAGAAGGAGCAUAGAAAGAUUUAUUGGGGUCAAGGAUGGGUUAGAGAUGGGUGCAAAGACAUUUAAUAUGGGCAUAGAAGGGGAGAAGAUAGAAUUUAUUUCUAAGUGGCUUGGCUCUCCUUCUAUGGCAUCACUUGGCAUGCCAUUCUU